rnacentral:piRNA from 1 species
UGUAAAAGUUCGGAAAUUUGUUUG